rnacentral:rRNA from 1 species
AUUGAACGCUGGCGGCAGGCCUAACACAUGCAAGUCGAGCGGAUGAAGGGAGCUUGCUCCUGGAUUCAGCGGCGGACGGGUGAGUAAUGCCUAGGAAUCUGCCUGGUAAUGGGGGAUAACGUCCGGAAACGGGCGCUAAUACCGCAUACGUCCUGAGGGAGAAAGUGGGGGAUCUUCGGACCUCACGCUAUCAGAUGAGCCUAGGUCGGAUUAGCUAGUUGGUGGGGUAAAGGCCUACCAAGGCGACGAUCCGUAACUGGUCUGAGAGGAUGAUCAGUCACACUGGAACUGAGACACGGUCCAGACUCCUACGGGAGGCAGCAGUGGGGAAUAUUGGACAAUGGGCGAAAGCCUGAUCCAGCCAUGCCGCGUGUGUGAAGAAGGUCUUCGGAUUGUAAAGCACUUUAAGUUGGGAGGAAGGGCAGUAAGUUAAUACCUUGCUGUUUUGACGUUACCAACAGAAUAAGCACCGGCUAACUUCGCG